rnacentral:rRNA from 1 species
GACGAACGCUGGCGGCGCGCCUAACACAUGCAAGUCGAACGGAGUCAAGAGGAGCUUGCUUUUCUUGACUUAGUGGCGAACGGGUGAGUAACGCGUGAGUAACCUGCCCUGGAGUGGGGGACAACAGUUGGAAACGACUGCUAGUACCGCAUAAGCCCACGGAUCUGCAUGGAUCUGCGGGAAAAGGAUUUAUUCGCUCUAGGAUGGACUCGCGUCCAAUUAGCUAGUUGGUGAGGUAACAGCCCACCAAGGCGACGAUUGGUAGCCGGACUGAGAGGUUGAACGGCCACAUUGGGACUGAGACACGGCCCAGACUCCUACGGGAGGCAGCAGUGGGGGAUAUUGCACAAUGGGGGAAACCCUGAUGCAGCGACGCCGCGUGGAGGAAGAAGGUUUUCGGAUUGUAAACUCCUGUCGUUAGGGACGAUAAUGACGGUACCUAACAAGAAAGCACCAGCUAACUACGUG